CCUCACCCUCAGCAUAUGGAAGUUCCCCGGCUAGGGGGGGAAUCUGGGCCAUAACUCUGAGCCGUGUCUGCAACCUACACCACCAAACAUGGAAAAAAGCUCAGGGUAAUGCCAGAUCCUUAAGCCACUGAGUGAGGCCAGGGAUAGAACCAGCCUCCUCAUGGAUACUAGUUAGGUUCUUUACUCCUGAGCCAAAACGGCAACUCCUAGGGUCUCAUUUCUUCAUAGAAUUUCUAUGCAUACUUAGGUAAUGAAAACCGACCAGGUGUUUUUUUUUUUUUUGGUUGUUAAUUUGUCUUUUCUCACUUUAAUUUCCAGGGCCCCAACAGGAGAAUCUUGCAGGGGAGAGGGAAACAUUUUUUUCUUUUCCUGAAUUAGAAUCAGCAGCUUUCCAGGUCCUCCCUGUCCGUCUCCACCUGCCUUCUGACCUGGGAGGCUGACCUGAGCGGCCUGAAUCAGCUCUUGGCUGAUGGGGCUCCAGGAAGGGGCAAGGAAUGUGAGGUGAGGGUCUUUGCUUGUGGCUUCCCUACUGGGUCUCUUUUUUUUUUUUUUUUUUUGUCUUUUUUUGUCUUUUUGUUGUUGUUGUUGCCAUUUCUUGGGCCGCUCCCUCGGCAUAUGGAGGUUCCCAGGCUAGGGGUCCAAUCGGAGCUGUAGCCACCAGCCUACGUCAGAGCCACAGCAACACGGGAUCCGAGCCGCGUCUGCAACCUACACCACAGCUCACGGCAACGCCGGAUCCUUAACCCACUGAGCAAGGGCAGGGACUGAACCCGCAACCUCAUGGUUCCUAGUCGGAUUCGUUAACCACUGCGCCACGACGGGAACUCCCCUACUGGGUCUCUUAAAGCUGGCAGGAUCCCUGCAUACAAGAUCCCAGCUCCUCUCCAGGAGAGCUUCGCCAGGCAGCUUUUUUUGAGUUCCUCUCUCUGGGUUUUGUUAACCAUUCUCUCACUCACCUCUUAAGGCCCAGGCCACCGAGCCCUCCUGACCCCUUCCUCUGUCCGUCCCUCACUUUGGUACAGAAUCUUUACUUAAUCUGUUGGGACUCUCCUAAUUGGAGCGAGCCAUCUGUUUCCUGUUUCCUGCUGCGAUGUGUCUGACUCAACUCGACACACACUCUUAAUAGAGGCAACCAGAUUGUCACCAGACUGUAGUUGGAAUGAUUUGCUCUGUUGAUCCUGGUGGCUGAACAGCCCAGAUAUACUGGUCUGGCUGACAGGCUCACU
rnacentral:lncRNA from 1 species